rnacentral:piRNA from 1 species
UCCCUGGUAGUUCAUUCAGCAUAAACUGA